UGAUAAAAAUGAUAGGCUGCUAGAUUUUUGCGCAGAACCUUGAGUCUGCAUGCAUUGAAACAGUGGAGUCUGGUAAAAUGACAAAGGAUCUUGCGCUUCUUAUCCACGGUCCCAAGGUAUCAAGGGAACAUUACUUGAGCACGGAGGAAUUGGUUGAUGCAGUUGCUCAGAGACUUAGAGAGAAACUUCAAGUUCGUGCUGUUUUGUAGAGUCGGGUCCGACAUCCAAUCUGACUGCUUAAGGAAGAAGAUUAGAAAAGUUCAUGCAGGACUCUGGAAGAUUGCUUCUAGAGGGCUAGGGUAUACUUUUUUCUUUUGAGAUGAUACGAUAAGCAGAAGAUAACUUCGAUUGGAUGUUUCAUUCAUGAAAUGGGUAUUGCAUUUUUUUUUUU